UUGGUACGGGAGGCAGCAGUAGGGAAUCUUCCGCAAUGGACGAAAGUCUGACGGAGCAACGCCGCGUGAGUGAUGACGGCCUUCGGGUUGUAAAGCUCUGUUAAUCGGGACGAAAGGCCUUCUUGCGAAUAGUUAGAAGGAUUGACGGUACCGGAAUAGAAAGCCACGGCUAACUCCGUGCCAGCAGCCGCGGUAAUCCAA
rnacentral:rRNA from 1 species